rnacentral:lncRNA from 1 species
UCUGGCAAGUCACGACAAUGGCCGCUACCCUACUCCACUCUCUGUAAUGGAUUCCGUGUGGCUCCACCACUCUCUGGCAAGUCGCGACAAUAGACACCACUCCACUCUCCAUAACAAACUCCACGUGGCCCUGAACGGCCCCCUGACACCACUACUCUCCGUAACAAACUCUGCGUGGCCCUGAACGGCCCACUACCAGGUGGUUACAGACGUCGCUGUCAAUCAGUUACGCUCUCCGUCUAUAAAAAGGGACCCCCAGAUACGUUCU